rnacentral:rRNA from 1 species
AAUCAACGCUGGCGGCGUGCCUCAGACAUGCAAGUCGAACGAUUAAAGCUCUCUUCGGAGAGUGCAUAGAGUGGCGCACGGGUGAGUAACACGUAAGUAAUCUACCCUCGAGUGGGGAAUAACGUCCGGAAACGGACGCUAAUACCGCAUAAUGCAGCGGCACCGCAAGGUGACAGUUGUUAAAGGAGAAAUUCGCUUGAGGAGGAGCUUGCGGCAGAUUAGCUUGUUGGUAGGUAACGGCUUACCAAGGCUACGAUCUGUAACCGGUCUUAGAGGACGGUCGGUCACACUGACACUGAAUAACGGGUCAGACUCCUACGGGAGGCAGCAGUCGGGAAUUUUGGGCAAUGGGCGAAAGCCUGACCCAGCAACGCCGCGUG